GGGGGGGGGGGGGGGGGGGGCUGACGCGUGGGGGUCGGGCGGGGGGGGGGGGCGUGCUCCUGGGUUCGGCGGGGGGCGGGGGAGUGAUGCCUAGGACUCUGCCUGUCUGUGGGUGGUGACGUCCGGGCACGGGCGCUGAUACCGCCUACUUGCUGAUUGAGAAAGUGGUGGAUCUUCUGACCUCACGCUAUCUGAUGAGCCUAGGCGGGGCUAGCUGGUUGGUGGGGUAAAUGCCUACCCAGCCGACGAUCAGUAACUGGUGUGGGAGGAUGAUCAGUCACACUGGAACGGAGACACGGUCCAGACUCCUACGGGAGGCAGCAGUGGGGAAUAUUGGACAAUGGGCGGAAGCCUGAUCCAGCCGUGCCGCGUGUGUGAAGAAGGUCUUCGGAUUGUAAAGCACUUUAAGUUGGGAGGAAGGGCAGUAAGUUAAUACCUUGCUGUUUUGACGGUACCAACAGAAUAAGCACCGGCUAACUUCGUG
rnacentral:rRNA from 1 species